UCCUUGGGUGUUUAGAAGUGUAAUGUUGAUGGUACCGUAUUCACUUCGGAGGGGUCAAGGGAUUCGGCAUAGUUAUACAAGAUUGUUUUGGCAAGGUAAUCAUAAUAUUUUUUAGGAUCCUAGCUAUGUAUAACUCAUUUUAUCUCCCGGAGCUUUUGAUUUGCAGAGAAACCUUAAACUACUUGGCAACACUCCUUGACUCAAGUGUCG
rnacentral:lncRNA from 1 species